UACGUAGGGUGCAAGCGUUGUCCGGAAUUAUUGGGCGUAAAGAGCUCGUAGGCGGUCUGUCGCGUCUGCUGUGAAAACCUGGGGCUUAACUCUGGGCGUGCAGUGGGUACGGGCAGGCUAGAGUGCGGUAGGGGAGACUGGAAUUCCUGGUGUAGCGGUGGAAUGCGCAGAUAUCAGGAGGAACACCAAUGGCGAAGGCAGAUCUCUGGGCCGUAACUGACGCUGAGGAGCGAAAGCGUGGGGAGCAAACAGG
rnacentral:rRNA from 1 species